UGGCGGUGUCGGCGUUUGGGAUGACUACGGUUCCUCCAUCUCUCUCAUCCAUUCUUGUUGUUAUACCUUCAACGACUAAACUCAAUUUGUUGUACAUGUCAUCCAUUCUAUCCUCAAUGCGUUCUUUCAAGGUCAUAAGUUGGUUGGUUUUACUAAGUUGUGAUAUAUCUGCAAAAGAUAUUAAUGAAAAAAAGAAAUCACUCACUCUCAAUCACUCAUAUUUACCUCUCCCGUCUUCUCCCGUCAAAUUGAGUGUUAGAAUUGGAUCUCUUGAAUCAAGACAAAUAAAAUUGUCUUUUAAGACUCUGUAAAGAAUCCUAAAAGG
rnacentral:lncRNA from 1 species